rnacentral:rRNA from 1 species
GCUCAGAUUGAACGCUGGCGGCAUGCCUUACACAUGCAAGUCGAACGGCAGCAUAGGAGCUUGCUCCUGAUGGCGAGUGGCGAACGGGUGAGUAAUAUAUCGGAACGUGCCCUAGAGUGGGGGAUAACUAGUCGAAAGAUUAGCUAAUACCGCAUACGAUCUACGGAUGAAAGUGGGGGAUCGCAAGACCUCAUGCUCCUGGAGCGGCCGAUAUCUGAUUAGCUAGUUGGUGGGGUAAAAGCCUACCAAGGCGACGAUCAGUAGCUGGUCUGAGAGGACGACCAGCCACACUGGGACUGAGACACGGCCCAGACUCCUACGGGAGGCAGCAGUGGGGAAUUUUGGACAAUGGGGGCAACCCUGAUCCAGCAAUGCCGCGUGAGUGAAGAAGGCCUUCGGGUUGUAAAGCUCUUUUGUCAGGGAAGAAACGGUUUUGGCUAAUAUCCAGAACUAAUGACGGUACCUGAAGAAUAAGCACCGGCUAACUACGUGCCAGCAGCCGCGGUAAUACGUAGGGUGCAAGCGUUAAUCGGAAUUACUGGGCGUAAAGCGUGCGCAGGCGGUUGUGUAAGACAGAUGUGAAAUCCCCGGGCUCAACCUGGGAAUUGCAUUUGUGACUGCACGGCUAGAGUGUGUCAGAGGGGGGUAGAAUUCCACGUGUAGCAGUGAAAUGCGUAGAUAUGUGGAGGAAUACCGAUGGCG